UGCUGUAGAUAGAAAGUUGUAAAAGUACUAAUACUGAUACCAUACCAUUGUUCAUAUUCCACAAGAGAUCAUUUAAGAUGCGAAGUAUUUGAAGAUUGUGAAAUACUUGCUUGAACCUCAUCUUUUGAGGAUUCAUCGAAAUCAGCCGCCACUGUUUUUUCAAUGACCGUAUAAGGCUUACCUACAGGCUCCAGUCCAUCGCGAAUUAAUCUAACCUUGUUCGAGAAGUAGGUGCUGAAUGAGUUUGCCAGUUCUUGAUUUGACUGAUUUUUUGGAAAAGGUCGUUAACAUGAACGUUGAAAUCACCAGCGAUGACCAAUGGCAUUGGACUUAGAGAAGUAUGAUCGAUCAUUGAUGAAAAUUCCCCCAGGAAGUUUCGAAAAGUGCAGGAUGUUGAUUUUUGUUGUGGACGGUAUAGAGUAAUUAUUUGAAGUAAACACAUGGCAUAAAUUCGAAAGACUUUGGUUUGAUUUCAAAAUCUGGGAAAUGAGCAGUUAAACUUUUCUUAUAAAAAAUUGCUACACCUUGCCACGCUUUUAAGUAGAGCGGGGGAGCUUGAAACCAGGGAGUGUCAUAUCACCCAUAGCUACAAUGUCAUCGGGUUUCAGCCAGGUUUCACAGAGCGCAAUGUCAAGUUUUCUAUAACAAAGUCGACAAUUUUAGUGGUUUUAUCUUUGCACAGAGCGGACGUUCAUAACGCAGCAUUUUGUAUUGUAAAAAUCAGCUGUAGGUAAAGCACAUUUUCUGAUUCUUUACAGUGUGAUUAGAAAAGCGGUCUACAAGUGUGUGGUUGGCUUUCCUGUGGAUAUGAGAGCCUACACGUCGCCUUCGAAAAUGAAAAAUGUUAAGUUCUUUAAAUUUAUUGUACAAGGAAUUAGAAAUGUAUGAACACUGAAACAGCUUGAGGUUAAAAAAUUCAGUAACGGUGUAUUGAAAGAAAGGCUUUACUGAAGUCUGACUCAAGAUUUAAGAUUCUUUAUUUGUCUCCUAACGGAAAAUCAGUUGGUACAUCACAUCGCAAAACAAAAUGCAGCAGUCAGUAUAAAUAAUAAAUAGCUAGUAGUGGAGAAAAUAAAUUUUAAUUAGGCCAUAAAACUUAUUUGAUAUUUUGAUAAAGCAUUCGAAUGGAAAAUGGUACGAAUGAAUUAAGAUAUCUAUUUGUUCUACGGACUUGUGAUUUUAACCUUUUACCCGAGGGUAGCCAAGUAAAAGAUGCAUUUAGUGGGUGGGAACUAUUUAUUAAAAUCUCUUUACUUUAUCAAUUAUUUUAAUCUCACAGAUAUCAUCUAGUUGUUUUUUUUUUGUAGAAUUUUCCAGCCUGAUUUAUGAUACGUUUUAGUCUGUUACAAUCGUGUUUCCUUAAAUUACCAAACCUUAGAAUUACCAAAGAAGAAUAAAAAAGGCUCAUUAUACAUAUAUCAACAUUGAAUGACCGCAAAUUCCUUAAGAAAUAGAGUCGCGUCAUACCCUUCUUAACAAUUUAGCAUAACAAAGAUAAAUGCAACUAAGCAUGUGGUGAAACUACCCUGAGUGAAACAGGCAGGUAAAUAACAGAUUAAAUUUCUUGUAAAAGAUCCCUAGGCAGUGGCGUAACGCCUAUGCGCUCUCAUGCGGCUGUCCGCAGGGCCCCCGACCACUAGGGACCAGAAAGGGCCCUACCCAUAGAUUCCACGAUCCAGCACCCUGACCAAAAGGACUUUGUUGAUACAUAACACCAUAAUAUGUCUCUGAAAUCGAGAUAUAUCAUAUUAUAUCCAGUGGCGGAUUAAAGGGAGAGGCCCCGUUG